rnacentral:rRNA from 1 species
UACGUAGGGUGCGAGCGUUAAUCGGAAUUACUGGGCGUAAAGCGUGCGCAGGCGGUUUUGUAAGUCAGAUGUGAAAUCCCCGGGCUUAACCUGGGAAUGGCAUUUGGGACUGCAAGGCUUGAGUGCGGCAGAGGAGACUGGAAUUCCUGGUGUAGCAGUGAAAUGCGUAGAUAUCAGGAGGAACACCGAUGGCGAAGGCAGGUCUCUGGACAUUUCCUGACGCUGAGGCACGAAAGCCAGGGGAGCAAACGGG